rnacentral:sRNA from 1 species
GUAGAAUUAUGCCAAUGAGCCUGGCUAGGAAGGGCAGCCCAGGCAGAGCGCAUGGCCUGUGCAAAGGCUGAGGCUUCAGUGUAUUGAGGAGCUGUGGUCUACAGGAGGGGCGGGAGGGGACCUCGGGGCAGAAGGCUGACUGUGACACUCCAGUUCUGCAUAAUCACUGGACCUGGGUCCCAGUCCUGGCUCUGCGGCUGUGAGCACGUCCUCCCACUUUGUGGAGCCUCAGUUGCCUCAUCUGUAUAAUGGGACUGAUAAGAGCGGGCACCUGGCGGUCCACUCUGGGGACUUGACUCUGCCUCUUGGGGAAGGGGUAGGGGUGAGGGGAGGAUGUUGACUCCUCCGGGUCCCUUUCCCAACAGAAGGAGCAUUUCUACCAAAGGCAGCACCGGCUGCCCGAGCCCUCCUGCCCAGAGCUGGCCACACUCACCAGCCAGUGUCUGACCUAUGAGCCGACCCAGAGGCCAUCAUUCCGCACCAUCCUGCGUGACCUCACCCGGCUGCAGCCCCACAAUCUUGCUGACGUCUUGACUGUGAACCCGGACUCACCAGCCUCAGACCCUACGGUUUUCCACAAGCGCUAUU